UGUUUUCAUUAAUCAAGAACGAAAGUUAGGGGAUCGAAGACGAUCAGAUACCGUCGUAGUCUUAACCAUAAACGAUGCCGACCAGCGAUUAGGAGACGUUGAAUACAAAACACCACCAUCGGCGCGGUCGUCCUUGGCGUUCGUCAGCUUCACGGCCGGCGGGCGCGAGGGCGGUUUAGCCCGGUGGCACCGGUGAAUGACUCCCCUACAGCCUUGUGAGAA
rnacentral:rRNA from 1 species